rnacentral:rRNA from 1 species
UACGUAGGGUGCAAGCGUUAAUCGGAAUUACUGGGCGUAAAGCGUACGCAGGCGGUCCGUUAAGACAGAUGUGAAAUCCCCGGGCUUAACCUGGGAACUGCAUUUGUGACUGGCGGACUCGAGUAUGGCAGAGGGGGGUAGAAUUCCACGUGUAGCAGUGAAAUGCGUAGAGAUGUGGAGGAAUACCGAUGGCGAAGGCAGCCCCCUGGGCCAAUACUGACGCUCAUGCACGAAAGCGUGGGGAGCAAACAGG